UACGGAGGAUGCGAGCGUUAUCCGGAUUUAUUGGGUUUAAAGGGUGCGCAGGCGGAUUUUUAAGUCAGCGGUCAAAUCGUGGGGCUCAACCCCAUCCAGCCGUUGAAACUGGGGAUCUAGAGUGUGCGAGAGGUAUGCGGAAUGCGUGGUGUAGCGGUGAAAUGCAUAGAUAUCACGCAGAACCCCGAUUACGAAGGCAGCAUACCGGUGCACAACUGACGCUCAGGCACGAAAGCGUGGGUAUCGAACAGG
rnacentral:rRNA from 1 species